UACGAAGGGGGCUAGCGUUGCUCGGAAUGACUGGGCGUAAAGGGCGCGUAGGCGGUGAUCACAGUCAGGCGUGAAAUUCCUGGGCUUAACCUGGGGGCUGCGUUUGAUACGUGGUUGCUAGAGUGGGGAAGAGGGGUCGGUGGAAUUCCCGGUGUAGAGGUGAAAUUCGUAGAUAUUGGGAAGAACGACCGGUGGCGAAGGCGGCGACCUGGUCCUUGACUGGACGCUGAGGCGCGAAAGCGUGGGGAGCAAACAGGAAUUAGAUACCCCGUGUAAGU
rnacentral:rRNA from 1 species